rnacentral:rRNA from 1 species
UGCUCGGCCAUUAACUUAGCUUGUUUACCCACAUACAAGCCGCCAGAGAACUACAAGCAACCACUUCAAACUCCAAGGACUUGACGGUGUCCUGACACCCUAGAGGAGCCUGUCCUAUAAUCGAUACUCCACGCUAAACCUCACCCCCCUUUGCCAAGCCAGCCUGUAUACCGCCGUCGAAAGUUUACCUCAUGAGAGAACCCCAGUGGACACAAUAGCAACCUCCCACCCUCACACGUCAGGUCAAGGUGUAGCUAAUAGGGGGGGAGAGAUGGGCUACACUCUCUUUAAUCCAGAGCCCCACAAGGGAUAUGAAACACACCCUGAAAGCAGGAUUUAGCAGUAAACUUAACAAGCACUGUUAACUUGAAGUUGCACCCCAGGACGCGUACAC